GUCCUGAUGGCUCAGUGGGCUGGAGCCUAGUUCUGACAGCAUUAAGGUUGUGGGUUAAAUUCCUGCUUGGGGCU
rnacentral:tRNA from 1 species